rnacentral:rRNA from 1 species
CAUAUCCGAUAGGUGGGGAGACUGGGAACGGUCCCUCACUGAAUAGGAGCUAGUGGCAUGCUUGCUAGUUUUGCUUGAGGAUAGGGCCGCGACCGAUCAGGUCGCUGGUGAGGUAAUGGCUCACCAGGCCUAUAACCGGUACGGGCCGUGAGAGCGGGAGCCCGGAGAUGGGCACUGAGAUAAGGGCCCAGGCCCUACGGGGCGCAGCAGGCGCGAAAACUCCGCAAUGCGCGAAAGCGUGACGGGGUCAUCCCGAGUGCCGUCCGCUGAGGAUGGCUUUUGCCUGGUAUAACUAGCCGGGUGAAUAAGGGGAGGGCAAGUCUGGUGUCAGCCGCCGCGGUAAUACCAGCUCCCCGAGUGGUUGGGACGAUUAUUGGGUCUGAAGCGUCCGUAGCCGGCCGGAAAAGUUCCCCGUUAAAUCCGACGAUCCAAUCGUCGGGCUGCGGGGAAUACUCUUCGGCUUGGGGGCGAGGGAGGUCGGCGGUAGUCCCGGGGUAGGGGCGAAAUCCUAUAAUCCCGGGAGGACCACCAGUGGCGAAGGCGGCCGACUAAAGCGCGCCCGACGGUGAGGGACGAAAGCUGGGGGAGCGAACGGGAUUAGAUACCCCGGUAGUCCCAGCUGUAAACGAUGUAGGCUAGGUGU